rnacentral:rRNA from 1 species
AUUGAACGCUGGCGGCAGGCCUAACACAUGCAAGUCGAACGGUAACAGGAAGCAGCUUGCUGCUUCGCUGACGAGUGGCGGACGGGUGAGUAAUGUCUGGGAAGCUGCCUGAUGGAGGGGGAUAACUACUGGAAACGGUAGCUAAUACCGCAUAAUGUCGCAAGACCAAAGAGGGGGACCUUCGGGCCUCUGGCCAUCGGAUGUGCCCAGAUGGGAUUAGCUUGUUGGUGGGGUAACGGCUCACCAAGGCGACGAUCCCUAGCUGGUCUGAGAGGAUGACCAGCCACACUGGGACUGAGACACGGUCCAGACUCCUACGGGAGGCAGCAGUGGGGAAUAUUGCACAAUGGGCGCAAGCCUGAUGCAGCCAUGCCGCGUGUAUGAAGAAGGCCUUCGGGUUGUAAAGUACUUUCAGCGGGGAGGAAGGGAGUAAAGUUAAUACCUUUGCUCAUUGACGUUACCCGCAGAAGAAGCACCGGCUAACUCCGUG